rnacentral:rRNA from 1 species
UGGGGAAUUUUGGGACAAUGGGGGAAACCCUGAUCCAGCCAUCCCGCGUGUGCGAUGAAGGCCUUCGGGUUGUAAAGCACUUUUGGCAGGAAAGAAACGUCGCGGGUUAAUACCCCGCGAAACUGACGGUACCUGCAGAAUAAGCACCGGCUAACUACGUGCCAGCAGCCGUGGUAAUACGUAGGGUGCAAGCGUUAAUCGGAAUUACUGGGCGUAAAGCGUGCGCAGGCGGUUCGGAAAGAAAGAUGUGAAAUCCCAGAGCUUAACUUUGGAACUGCAUUUUUAACUACCGGGCUAGAGUGUGUCAGAGGGAGGUGGAAUUCCGCGUGUAGCAGUGAAAUGCGUAGAUAUGCGGAGGAACACCGAUGGCGAAGGCAGCCUCCUGGGAUAACACUGACGCUCAUGCACGAAAGCGUGGGGAGCAAACAGGAUUAGAUACCCUGGUAGUCCACGCCCUAAACGAUGUCAACUAGCUGUUGGGGCCUUCGGGCCUUGGUAGCGCAGCUAACGCGUGAAGUUGACCGCCUGGGGAGUACGGUCGCAAGAUUAAAACUCAAAUGAAUUGACGGGGGUCAUAGCUGUUUUUCCU